rfam:Triticum urartu cultivar G1812 contig842170, whole genome shotgun sequence.
AUGUUACUCCCUCUGUCCGAAUUACUUGUCGCAAAAGUUGAUGCAUCUAGCCGUGUUUUUAGUUUUAGAUACAUCAAUUUCUAUCUAUUUUUGUGACAAGUAAUUCGGACGGAGGAAGUAUUUG